rnacentral:rRNA from 1 species
UACGUAGGGUGCAAGCGUUGUCCGGAAUUAUUGGGCGUAAAGGGCUCGUAGGCGGUCCGUCACGUCGGGAGUGAAAACUUGGGGGCUUAACCCCCAAGCCUGCUUCCGAUACGGGCAGACUGGAGGUAUGCAGGGGAGAACGGAAUUCCUGGUGUAGCGGUGGAAAUGCGCAGAUAUCAGGAGGAACACCGGUGGCGAAGGCGGUUCUCUGGGCCGGAUACUGACGCUGGAGGAGCGAAAGCGUGGGGAGCGAACAGG